GAUGAACGCUGGCGGCGUGCUUAACACAUGCAAGUCGAACGAUGAAGCCCAGCUUGCUGGUUGGUUUAGUGGCGAACGGGUGAGUAACACGUGAGCAACUGGCCGCUGACGGUGGGAUAAGUGCUGGAAACGGCGCCUAUUACGGGAAAUGUCCGGUCACCGCAUGGUGUGCGGGUGGAAAGAUACUUCGGUAGGGGAUGGGUGGUCGGCCUAGCAGCUUGUUGGUGUGGUAAUGGCUCACCAAGGCGUAGACUGGUAGCCGACACGGGAUGGUGACCGGCGACACUAGGACUACGAGACGGAGCAGUGGCGUACGGGAGGCAGCAGUGGGGAAUAUUGCCCAGUGGGCGGGAGCGUGAUGCAGAAGUGCCGCGUGAGGGAAGACGGCUUUCGGGUUGUAAACCUCUUUUAGCUGGGAAGAAGCGAAAGUGACGGUACCUGCAGAAAAAGCACCGGCUAACUACGUG
rnacentral:rRNA from 1 species